UGCUGGAGGUAUCAGAAGUGCGAAUGCUGACAUAAGUAACGAUAAAGCGGGUGAAAAGCCCGCUCGCCGGAAGACCAAGGGUUCCUGUCCAACGUUAAUCGGGGCAGGGUGAGUCGACCCCUAAGGCGAGGCCGAAAGGCGUAGUCGAUGGGAAACGGGUUAAUAUUCCCGUACUUGGUGUUACUGCGAAGGGGGGACGGAGAAGGCUAUGUUGGCCGGGCGACGGUUGUCCCGGUUUAAGCGUGUAGGUGUGUGUUCCAGGUAAAUCCGGUUCACUUUAACACUGAGGCGUGACGACGAGGCACUACGGUGCUGAAGCAACAAAUGCCCUGCUUCCAGGAAAAGCCUCUAAGCAUCAGGUAACANAAGCGAAGCUCCUGAUCGAAGCCCCGGUAAACGGCGGCCGUAACUAUAACGGUCCUAAGGUAGCGAAAUUCCUUGUCGGGUAAGUUCCGACCUGCACGAAUGGCGUAAUGAUGGCCAGGCUGUCUCCACCCGAGACUCAGUGAAAUUGAACUCGCUGUGAAGAUGCAGUGUACCCGCGGCAAGACGGAAAGACCCCGUGAACCUUUACUAUAGCUUGACACUGAACAUUGAGCCUUGAUGUGUAGGAUAGGUGGGAGGCUUUGAAGUGUGGACGCCAGUCUGCAUGGAGCCGACCUUGAAAUACCACCCUUUAAUGUUUGAUGUUCUAACGUGGACCCGUAAUCCGGGUUGCGGACAGUGUCUGGUGGGUAGUUUGACUGGGGCGGUCUCCUCCUAAAGAGUAACGGAGGAGCACGAAGGUUGGCUAAUCCUGGUCGGACAUCAGGAGGUUAGUGCAAUGGCAUAAGCCAGCUUGACUGCGAGCGUGACGGCGCGAGCAGGUGCGAAAGCAGGUCAUAGUGAUCCGGUGGUUCUGAAUGGAAGGGCCAUCGCUCAACGGAUAAAAGGUACUCCGGGGAUAACAGGCUGAUACCGCCCAAGAGUUCAUAUCGACGGCGGUGUUUGGCACCUCGAUGUCGGCUCAUCACAUCCUGGGGCUGAAGUAGGUCCCAAGGGUAUGGCUGUUCGCCAUUUAAAGUGGUACGCGAGCUGGGUUUAGAACGUCGUGAGACAGUUCGGUCCCUAUCUGCCGUGGGCGCUGGAGAACUGAGGGGGGCUGCUCCUAGUACGAGAGGACCGGAGUGGACGCAUCACUGGUGUUCGGGUUGUCAUGCCAAUGGCACUGCCCGGUAGCUAAAUGCGGAAGAGAUAAGUGCUGAAAGCAUCUAAGCACGAAACUUGCCCCGAGAUGAGUUCUCCCUGAGACUUAGAGUCUCCUGAAGGAACGUUGAAGACGACGACGUUGAUAGGCCGGGUGUGUAAGCGCAGCGAUGCGUUGAGCUAACCGGUACUAAUGAACCGUGAGGCUUAACCUUACAACGCCGAAG
rnacentral:rRNA from 1 species